GUGCUCGCUUCAGCAGCACAUAUACUAAAAUUGGAAUGAUACAGAUUAGAAUGGCCCCUGCACAAGGAUGACACGCAAAUUCAUGAAGCAUUCCAUAUUUAA
ensembl:snRNA U6 U6 spliceosomal RNA